rnacentral:lncRNA from 1 species
CUAGGCAGUGCUUUCUUUCUAAAAUAUGUUUAGGGAUAUUCUCAUUUGGACUCAAGAAAAUCACCAUAUCAUUCAAAUUGGGGAAAACAAAUACAGUAAAUGGACCAAAGUACAAAGAUUCACAAAAUGUUUAGGGGUAUGCAUCCCCCUGUGACCCCUCAGAAAAAAAGCACUGGGGCUAGGUUAAUGUUCCAUUCCAUAUAUUUCUUACAUUCACAUAUAUAUCAUGUGUGUGUGUGUGUGUGUGUGUGAUGCACCCCAUGCACUGUUACAGCUCUAUUUCUUGUAUUUAACAUUAAAACAUUGCUUACAAAAUGGGGUGCUACUUUAUUUGAAUGUUACGUUAAAGCACAAACUGUGCCCAUUUUAGUAUAGUUUUUUUUUUAAAAAAAAAAACCAUUGCAGCAAAACAACUGCAAAUUAACAGAUGAAGCAACAGCAGUUGUAGAUCUAGCGAUCAGCGCUUCUGCUAAAGCUUUGACCGGCGUGAUGGUGCCCUGGAAGCUUCAAUCGUAGUUCUGAGCUCCGGCUGGAAGAGGUUUAAAAGUAAGAUCCAUCUCCUGACCUUCUAUCCAUCUCGCUUAGGAGAAAGGAGGAGAAAAGGCUGCUUCACUCCCCUCCAGCCAGAUGGUGCAUCUUUCCUGGGUAAAUAAAUUUUAAGGAAACGAUCAAAGGGAUGGUUAAAUAUUAAAUAACUGCCUCCGCUGCCUCAAGGACGAGGCCCAGGAAUGCUGCUGCCAAUCCGCAGGGGUGGGUUUUGCUACUUGUGGUUCUUGUGUUUAUCAGUUGCCAUUCAGUCAGAUACCUGUACUAUUCUGUGAAAUAGCAAAUCUUAGAUGCGAAGCGCUCGGCUGAAAUGAAUGCAAAGAUGACAUCACAGAAUAACUUUCCUUUUUUCCCUACACAGAGGGAAAUGAAAAAAGGCUGCAACAAGGCUCGCUAAUGGAAGUAAGCGAAGGGACCAGAUUAACAGUUGCAGAAAUCAGGCGCAGGUGGGAUGUUAUGAUAAGUUCCCUGAUUCAUCGCCGCUAAUAAGAGAAAUCAGAAUAAUAACGGAAAAGGAAGAAAGGAUUGUAGGAUCGGUGCAAAUAUUUAUCUGCUCGCAAAGUGACCUUGUGAUCCAUCCCCGUCAUUAAUCUGAUAGCAAAGAACAUGAUUGCCACCGUGUGGUUGCUACCAGAAAUUAUAGUUUAACGCAAAUCAUUUUUCAUAAUUAAAAUGUAAUUAGCUGGCUCCCCUGUUGUCUACGCAGAUCUUUUGGUGAGUGCCUGUUCUGCUGCUUAGAGGAAUCGCUGCCUCUUCCAAAAACAAAAAAACAAAACCCCACAAAAGUUAGGCAAGGGGGGAAAAGCUAGAAUCAGAGACUCCUUGGGGUGUGUGGCUUUGACAGCAAGCAAGAUGGUGGCGUGGCUUGACAGCAGUUUCACGAGUGAAUAAUUUGGCUUGGGUUAAUACUUCGGCAAGGUAAUGCUGCGCAGACAAUAUAAGUGAAGCCCGAAACUUUUAGAAUUAAUGCCGUUGGCGGCUAAUCAGCUUGACAGCUCAGAAUUCUUGAGGGAGGCUAAGGACGCCGAGAUGGUGAAGGGCAGUUCAACAGCUUGAAAGGCGCAACUUUAAAAGUGGGUUGUCAGUGGUAGAAGAUCUAGCCGACUUUAGCCAGCAACGGGAGGAGAACUUAGCAAAUAUCUGUGCUGUGGCUUUGAAAGUGGCCCCGUUGACUCUAAAGAAGGUGCAAGGGAACUUUGGCCCUCUAGAAGUUGCUCCCAUCAGCCUAGUGGCCAGGAAUUAUGGGAGGAUAAGGAGGACCAUAAGAAGAUCAAACCUCUCAAUUCUUAAGGAAAUCAGCCCUGAGUGCUCACUGGAAGGACAGAUCCCAAAGCUGAGGCUCCAAUACUUUGGCCACCUCAUGAGAAGAGAAGACUCCCUGAAAAAGACCCUGAUGUUAGGAAAGAUGGAGGGCACAAGGAGAAGGGGACGACAGAGGACAAGAUGGUUGGACAGUGUUCUCAAAGCUACCAGCAUGAGUCUGACCAAACUGCGGGAGGCAGUGGAAGACAGGAGUGCCUGGCAUGCUCUGGUCCAUGAGGUCACGAAGAGUCGGACACGAUUAAACGACUAAACAACAACAACACAAGGAGGGCCAUGCUCAUAAUUAUAAUUUUCUGCUUAGAGGAAUACUAGAGUUGGAUGAUGGCAUGGUGGUAGUGUUGAUGGCAUGGUUCUUGAAAUUUCAUUGGACAUUCUUGACAUCACUGUAAGGAGAAAGAGUGGACUUUCGUUGCUGUUUUACUUCAGCCACUGUUGCGUGACAGAGAAAUGGAAGCAGAAGGCUGAACUCAUAUCCUGCCAGGUUCUCAAAACACCCUUUUCUGUCCUUCUAAGGAUGUGGAUGGAGGAUAUGGAAGAGAAGAGCUCAAUACCAAACAUGCAAGCUCCCUCCAAAAAUCACUGAUUAUCUACCACCUAGAAAGACAAAGGUCACAGACUUUUAAUGGGAAUGAUUGAGGACUGAGCCCACCUACAUGACCAUUAGGAGAACACAGUGGUGUCUAGUGGUCAAAUGCUGGAUCAAGGGAGAUCCAGGCUCAAAUCUCUACUCUGCCAAGAACGUUUGUAGGUGACUUCAAGCCACUUGCAGUCAAAUGAGUCUUCCCACCUGCAAUCUGAAGGGAUACAGUCCAGAUUUGAGUUUACAACCAUGGUGAAAAUGACCUGGUUCAACCCAUUAUAUAUUACUAGGGAAACUCAUUUUGACAAACUCUGAGAAAGGCAUUUUUCUUGAAUGAACUGUUCUGGCUUCUUAUACUAUGCCUGGGGGCAGGGGGAGGGUAGGCAGGGCAGUGCCCAACACCCAUGGGAAACCAGUUGAAAUAAUUUCUUUUUAAAACAAAAGCAAAACCCCUGUAAUUUAAAAUGAAUCUGAACUCUGGUUUUCUGAGUCAAAAGUAAUGAAUUUAACACUUAACCUGCGCCUCACGGAAACAACUUUGGGCUGCCACAACUUUCCUCUAACCUAACAUUUUCCUGUACCUUCAUGAGUUUUUCCAUCACGCUGUGAGAUUCUGCAAAGGACAAGAAUAAAUAUAACCAGUCACCUCAGAAUCAAGAUUUGAAGGAAAGACAUAUAACUGCCGCAUGGUGUUGCCAUGGCAACAAAGGCUCCAACACGAUCCUAAUCUGCUUAUGAAUUCCAUCUCUGAGAUGAACAAAAUCAACACAAGAGAAGGAAAGAAAAUCUGCUAAGUUGAAGGAAGGUGAUGAGGAUAUUUCAGGUGGGCCAUUAAUUCCGUGCCCCAGAUUUGCGGCAUCAACAACCCCUUUCACCUCGGAGCAGCUCUGGACAUUACCG